rnacentral:rRNA from 1 species
CCUACGGGAGGCAGCAGUGGGGAAUAUUGGACAAUGGGCGAAAGCCUGAUCCAGCCAUGCCGCGUGUGUGAAGAAGGCCUUCGGGUUGUAAAGCACUUUCAGUGGGGAAGAAAGCCUUGGGGCUAAUACCCUCGAGGAAGGACAUCACCCACAGAAGAAGCACCGGCUAACUCCGUGCCAGCAGCCGCGGUAAUACGGAGGGUGCGAGCGUUAAUCGGAAUUACUGGGCGUAAAGCGCGCGUAGGCGUCUGAUAAGCCGGUUGUGAAAGCCCCGGGCUCAACCUGGGAACGGCAUCCGGAACUGUCAGGCUAGAGUGCAGGAGAGGAAGGUAGAAUUCCCGGUGUAGCGGUGAAAUGCGUAGAGAUCGGGAGGAAUACCAGUGGCGAAGGCGGCCUUCUGGACUGACACUGACGCUGAGGUGCGAAAGCGUGGGUAGCAAACAGGAUUAGAUACCCCUGUAGUC